UUCACACAAAUGGUAUGCAGGUGGGGACAGGACAGAAAGACAUGCACAUGCACAUGCAUAUACACACAUGCAUAAAUUCACACAGACACAAAAAGACUGUAUAUCUC
rnacentral:miRNA from 1 species